AACGGCACAGUGGGCGAGUCCGUCUCUGGGCGGCUAGCCGUUAAGCCUUGACGAGUAAGAGGGCGCGGCGGUGGCUUAAAAGGGUCUGGGCGUGAGCCCGCCUGGAGCCUCCGUCGGUGCAGAUCUUGGUGGAAGUAGCAAAUACUCUAGCGAGGACCUGGAGGACUGUCGGGGAGAAGGGUUUCUUGUGAACAGCCGUUGCACAAGAGUCAGUCGAUCCUAAGCACUAGGAGAAGUCCGAUGUUGAUUGGCGUUUGAAAUUUAAACUGUACAAUUUCUCUCUCUACGAAUGGUUGGCAACGGGACUAGCGCGAAAAUGGCACUCGUCCUGGAUAGAGGGAAAAUAUCUCUAAAUGUUUUCACGUAAUUUUCUCUACACGAUGAUGGCACAGGGCAGGCCGGAGCAGGGCUCCGCGUGUUCUGGAGAGAUGGUUAGUGAUAUUGUGAGUAAAGAUGCGCCAGUCGUGCGAAAGGGAAUCCGGUUCUUAUUCCGGAACCCGGCUGCGUAACCGCUACUCAGCGGGCUCUCGCCUGCGAGCGCUCGUCGGGGUAACCCAAACUGGCCCGGAGACGCCGGCGGGGGGUCCGGGAAGAGUUGUCUUUUCUCUAUAAGCGUUCGAGCACCCYGGAAUCCUAUAGCAGGGAGAUAGGGUUGGGAACGCGAAUAGCACCGCAGGUGCCAGUGGUGUCCGGAUUUCCCCCCCCGGACCAUGAAAAUCCGGGCUAGGGCUACGCGGAAGUCGCGCCGGUUCGUACCCAUAUCCGCAGCAGGUCUCCAAGGUUAAGAGCCUCUAGUCGAUAGAAUAAUGUAGGUAAGGGAAGUCGGCAAACUCGAUCCGUAACUUCGGAAGAAGGAUUGGCUCUGAGGAUCGGGGCGAGUCGGGCUAGGUCGGGAAGCGGGUCGGCGCCAGUUGCCGGGCCUGGGCGAGGUGAUGACCGAGCGGCGAAAGCUGCCCUGUCGGAACCGAGUUCGGUCCCGCCCCUGGCCUCCCGCGGAUCUUCCAUGCUUGCGGGUCGCAGGCCGACAGUUGCGUCUCCGAGCCCUACCGGAACGGGGCGUGGACGGGCCGGCGCGCCCCACGGCCGCCGUACAACGAUCGGCUCAGAACUGGCACGGACCGGGAGAAUCCGACUGUCUAAUUAAAGCAUAGCAUUGCGAUGGCCCGACAGAGUGUUUACGCAAUGUGAUUUCUGCCCAGUGCUCUGAAUGUCAAUGUGAAGAAAUUCAAGUAAGCGCGGGUAAACGGCGGGAGUAACUAUGACUCUCUUAAGGUAGCCAAAUGCCUCGUCAUCCGAUUAAUGACGUGCAUGAAUGGAUUAACGAGAUUCUCGCUGUCCCUACCUACUAUCUAGCGAAACCACAGCCAAGGGAACGGGCUUGGUAAAAUCAGCGGGGAAAGAAGACCCUGUUGAGCUUGACUCUAGUCUGACACUGUAAGGAGACAUGAGAGGUGUAGCAUAAGUGGGAGACGGGAGCAACGGGCUCCUUGCGGGCCCGCCCGCCGCCGGUGAAAUACCACUACUUUCAUCGUUUCCUUACUUACUCGGUUCGGCGGGAAACGAGCCCGUCGGGGUUCCCACUCGGCGGGCCGAGGUUCUAGCGCUAACCUGCGAGGGUUGCCGGACGCUCGUCUGUACGGGUUCUCGCGGGGAGCUACCGCUCGGCGACCGGCUUGCCGGGGACCGUUUGGAUCAGCCCUCUGUGCGGCCUCACGCGGUCGAUGCUGUACGGCAAACGAUCCCUCCAGAGACCCGAUCCGAGGACACAGUCAGGCGGGGAGUUUGACUGGGGCGGUACAUCUGUCAAACGAUAACGCAGGUGUCCUAAGGCCAGCUCAGCGAGGACAGAAACCUCGCGUAGAGCAAAAGGGCAAAUGCUGGCUUGAUCCCGAUGUACAGUACGCAUAGGGACCGCGAAAGCGAGGCCUGUCGAUCCUUUUGGCGUGAAGAGUAUUCAGCAAGAGGUGUCAGAAAAGU
rnacentral:rRNA from 1 species